GACAGUUUGGUAAUUACUGAAAAGCAAGGGUGUGUUAAAUUUUAACCUUGUCCAUCCGUCAGUACAUACAUUUUGUUGUAUGUCCCAAAAAAUUGGGUGGUCACUGGUGUUACUUUUACCUUUCUUCAGUUAUGCAUUGCUGAAUUUUUAUUGUUCUUUUCUCUCUAAUUUUAGUUUGCCUCAACCAAAUGUUAUGAAACUUAUAUACACACCGCUUAUUUCCACAUUUAUAAAUUCAGAUCGAGUUCAUAUUUGGUGGCAUCACUUUUACUGUUCUUGAUUUAUACCCUUUACAAAUUGAAAAAUGACUGAUUUUUUUUGUUUCCGUUUUCUUAUUGUAGUUUCCGUUUGUUUUGAC
rnacentral:lncRNA from 1 species